CGUUAUGGCGGCUGUGCGCGGGAGGCCUUUGGCCUGCCGGGUUUCCUGUAUGCCCCGGUUUUCCACCCCGCGUACAGCUGCCACCUUA
rnacentral:antisense_RNA from 1 species